CAGUCGCCACGGUAAUACGAAGGGGGCUAGCGUUGUUCGGAUUUACUGGGCGUAAAGCGCACGUAGGCGGACUUUUAAGUCAGGGGUGAAAUCCCGGGGCUCAACCCCGGAACUGCCUUUGAUACUGGAAGUCCUGAGUAUGGUAGAGGUGAGUGGAAUUCCGAGUGUAGAGGUGAAAUUCGUAGAUAUUCGGAGGAACACCAGUGGCGAAGGCGGCUCACUGGACCAUUACUGACGCUGAGGUGCGAAAGCGUGGGGAGCAAACAGGAUUAGAUACCCCUGUAGUCCCUGUCUCUUAUAC
rnacentral:rRNA from 1 species